UACAGAGACUGCAAGCGUUAUUCGGAUUCACUGGGCGUAAAGGGUGCGCAGGCGGUCGGGUGUGUCAGAUGUGAAAUCCCGAGGCUCAACCUCGGAACUGCGUCUGAAACUACUCGACUAGAGUACUGGAGAGGGUAACGGAAUUCACGGUGUAGCAGUGAAAUGCGUAGAUAUCGUGAGGAACACCAGAGGCGAAGGCGGUUACCUGGACAGUUACUGACGCUGAGACGCGAAAGCGUGGGGAGCGAACAGG
rnacentral:rRNA from 1 species